UGGUGGAGUGAUUUGUCUGGUUAAUUCCGUUAACGAACGAGACCUCGACCUGCUAAAUAGUAGACAUGUAUUUUAUACGUGAUGUACUUCUUAGAGGGACUCUCGGUGUGUAGCCGAUGGAAGUUCGAGGCAAUAACA
rnacentral:rRNA from 1 species